rnacentral:rRNA from 2 species
AAAUUGAAGAGUUUGAUCAUGGCUCAGAUUGAACGCUGGCGGCAGGCCUAACACAUGCAAGUCGAACGGUAACAGGAAACAGCUUGCUGUUUCGCUGACGAGUGGCGGACGGGUGAGUAAUGUCUGGGAAACUGCCUGAUGGAGGGGGAUAACUACUGGAAACGGUAGCUAAUACCGCAUAACGUCGCAAGACCAAAGAGGGGGACCUUCGGGCCUCUUGCCAU